UGGGAAUAAAAAUAUUGACACAGUUGUUUGGAGAAACCGUGUAUGAAUGCCUGUAGCAAAAAAAAAAGAUAAAAUUCUUAUUUAUGAACCGAUUUAUGCAGAUGGAAUCUUAUGCACUUCAAUCUUCAAAACACACAAAUACACACUCAGAUCUAAAAUAGACACAUACUCACAUCUAAAAAACACACACACACUCACAUCUAAAAAACACACACUCAGAUCUAAACACACACACAAACACAAUCAGAUCUAUAAAACAUACACACUCAUAUCUACAUAAUUGUCUCUUUUAACUCUCUCUGAUUUCGAUCUACCCACCACUCUCUUCCAAGAUCGUCUUUUUAUAUAUCACUGUUAGAUGAUAAAGUUGAUUAUUCUUUAGAUUAGUUAGUUUUUUUUUUCAUGUUAGUUGUUCUAAUUAACUUUACAUUUUAUUAUUUGUCUUUAUUAAUUUUUUCGUAAUUGCUUUGUGUGUAGUUGUCUAUGCAAGUGACAUUUCAACUAUGGCUUUAGCAAGUGGAAGUCGAAUUUUCGUGUAUGACAUAUGGACAUUUGCAUGUUGUAUGCUGGUGGUAUUACAUCUUGGAUUUGCUUGAAUGGAGUUCUUAACUUCCUCUCUCUUACUGCAAUUUUAGGAAGUAGUGACAACAUUUAAAAUUUGUGGUGCAUCUUUUUUAAUUUUCAUUCAAAAAGUAGGUAAUGGGCUUUUAUGUUUCCAUGUUUAUAUAAAUUAAUUGUAAGUUGUAAUUGAUGUUAUGCACAAGGUUAUAGAAAAAAAUUAUAGUCGUUUCUCUCUA